rnacentral:tRNA from 3 species
GCCAGAGUGGUGGAAUUGGUAGACACGACGGAUUCAAAAUCCGUUGCCUUCGCGGGCGUGCCGGUUCAAGUCCGGCCUCUGGUA